rnacentral:lncRNA from 1 species
UGAUGUGGGGUGGCUUUGGCAUUGCCGGCUAGACCACGUCAAUAUGAGAUCUUUGCAAAGUCUCCUCAAAGGGGAUCACAUUCUUGGACUAAAAUAUGUGAGUUUUGCCAAAGAUCGUGCUUGUAGUGCCUCUAUUGAAGGAAAGCUCCAUGAGUCAGCACGACUAUCAUUUACUCGAAGAGGACCUUGGAGCUCCUUCACAUGGAUCCCUUCGGUCCUCCAUCUUACGAUAAUAUUGGGGGAAGAAAGUAUUGGUUGGUGAUUGUGGAUGAUUACUCAAGAUAUACUUGGGUCUACUUUUUCAAGAGAAAAGUGAGACUCAACAAACCAUCAUAGACUUCACCAAUGAAGCUCAAUGUUAGCACGAUGCAAAGAUUCUAAUGAUUAGAAGUGACAAUGGCACCGAGUUCAAGAACUACACCCUAAAUGAAGUUCUGAGUGAUGAAGGGAUCACGCAUCAAUACUCUGAUCCUUACACUCCUCAAUAAAAUGGUGUAGCGGAAUGGAAGAACCAGACGUUGAUGGAUGCGGCAAGGACCAUUAUGUCGGAUUUAAAUCUUCGUAUAAAUUUUGGGCUGAAGCCAUCAACACCGCAUGUCAUGCAUCCAAUCGGCUCUACCUUCACAAAGGCUUGAACAAGACUCCAUAUGAAAUUAUUACCGGCAACUAGCCCAACCUCAAGUACUUAUGAGUGUUUGGCUGUAAGUGUUUCCCUCUUAAGAAAGGUGCUCAUUCGUCUAAAUUUGAACCUAGAGCUCAAGAGAGCAUAUUUGUUGGUUAUGCUACAAACUCUCGUGCUCCUGAACAAGUCCUUAGGACUCAUUGAGGAGACGUGUAACAUAGAUUUUGACAAGAAUAAUGGCUCCCAAGUGGAGCAAAGUAGUCUUUGUGAUGUAGGUGAUGAAAUUCCUCCCCAAGCCAUAAGAAGAAUGGGCGUGGGAUACUUCUUGUCUGUUGAGGAACCCCUUGUGAUUGAAGGAGAAGGACAAUGUUCCUCUCAUGUGGAACCAUCACCGACACAAUACCCACAUGCUUUCGAAGAACGCUCUCAAGGCCCUCAUCCUCGUUAUCCCGAUCAAGGUGAAGAUCAACCUCAAGAUGGUCCUGCACCAAAUGAUGUCCUUGAUUUUGCUCACCCCUGUGAGGAUGCUCGAGAUCAAGAGCAAGCUCAAGAUCAAGACCAGGUUCAAGAUCAAGAGCAAAAGCAAGAACAAAAUCAAUAUCAAAAUCAAGGGCAAACCCAAAAAGACAGUAAAAGUCUCAGUCGGGCUUCUCAGCUCACCCCUGAGGAGAGUCAAGAAAGACGCCCUGCCAAGACUGCCAAAACACUCAAAAACCUUUCUCAUGUGCUAGAGAAUGUCUAUAGCGGCUUAAAGAGAGGGGUAACCACACGUCAUCAAUUAUCAAAUUUUAGUGCCCAUCAUGCGUUUGUUUCUUGCAUUGAACCACUAAAGGUACAAGAAGCUCUCGAAGACAUGGAUUGGGUUGAAGCCAUGCAUGAAGAACUCAAUAUCUUCGAGAGCAAUAAAGUGUGCCAAUACCUAAGGAGAACCACAAUGUCAUUGGGAUAAGGUAGAUCUUUAAGAGCAAGCACGAUGCAAACGGUGAUGUCACUCAGAACAAGGCAAGAUUGGUAGCACAAGGCUACUCCCAAGUCGAGGGUAUCGACUAAGGUGAAACUGUUGCUCCUGUCGCUUGCCUUGAGUCUAUUCGCACACUGCUUGCAUUUGCUUCUCAUCAUAACUUCAAAUUAUACAAAAUUGAUGUGAAGAGUGAAUUUCUUAAUGGUCACCUUAAGGAGUUGGUUUAUGUCAAGCAACCCCCGGGGUUCGAGGACCCCAAGUUCCCUAAUCAUGUGUAUGUUCUCGAUAAUGCACUCUAUGGCCUUAAACAAGCCCCACAUGUGUGGUAUGAGCACCUUACUGAGAUAUUACAUGACCGUGGAUUAGAAGUUGGGAAAAUUGACCCCACUCUUUUUACUAAGAAGGUCAAGGGGAACUUGUUCAUAUGAGAGCUAUAUGUAGAUGAUAUUAUAUUUGGUUAUCCUAACAAAGCUUUUAAUAAAGAAUUUGAUGUAGUAAUGAUGAAAAAGUUUGAGAUCACUACAGGAAUCAGCUUCUUUGCCGUCUGCCAUAACGGAUGGCAAAGAGGAUUCCACCGACGGCAUUGACCAAUCCGCAGACGGCAAAGAGAACACCUGUCGGAAAAGAUUUUGCGUCAUCUUACAACGACAUUUUAGCUUCUUUGCCGUCAGCCUACCCUAAGCGGACGACAAAGCUCUUUGCCGUCAGUGUCAGACAUUGAGCAGUUGGCAAAGAAUUUGAGACGACAGCCGACACGCGAUGCCGCCGUUAGGGCUAAAGGAGGCUUUGUUGUCUGCUUCCCUCCGCAUCUUUGUCGUCUGCUUCCCUCCCCAUCUUUGCCGUCUGCUUCUAUGAGCCAACACAAGGUUGGGCCAGCGCAUGUCGGCUUAUUUUCCGUCUGCCUCCCUACCGCUUUGCCGUCAGCCUCCCGAGGCAGCGGACGACAAACAGCCCAUAUGGCUAGCUGCUGCUGCCCAGGUUGCAUGGUUGGGUGCCACAUGGCACCUUUGCCGUUAGCUGCCUGAUGGCACAAGCCUUUGCCAUCAGCUGGCAGACGGCAAAGAGCCAAUAUUUUCACAUUUUUGUUUAUUUUUUCUAUUUCACAACACAUAUAUAUAUAUAAUUCAUAGCACAUAUAUGAUUAUAGGUCACAACACAUAUAUGAUAUACAUAUAAAGUUCAGCAAUGCCAUUUGUUCAUCAAUGUACAUCCCAUAUAUCGAAAGAACCAACACAUACAAAGUUUCAUCCAUAUAUACAUACAUAUAGUUCCACAUAUAUUGUUCAUCCAUAUAAACAUAUACAUAUAGUUCCACAUUGUUCAUCAACUCAAACAAAAACUAGAACUAAAGCACUCUAAUGCCAGCUUCCGUGCAUGUAGUACAUCCAAUCUGCAAAAUGGGAAUAAGGAAGUCAGAAGAAGAACAACAACAAUAUAUAUGACAAAUAAGCUAAAUUGAAGAAGAAAGAGAAGAAGCAAGAAGAGAAGAAGGAUAAGAAAAACAAGAAUAAGGAGGAGGAGGAGGAGGAGGAGAAGGAGAAGGAGGAGGAGAAGGAGGAGGAGAACAGGAGAAUAAGAAGGAGAAGAAGGAGGAGAAGAAGGAGGAGAGAAGAAGAAGGAAAAGAAGGAGGGCUCCUUCUCCUUCUUCUCCUCCUUCUCCUUCUUCUCUUCUUCUUCUCCUCAUCCUUCUUCCCCUUCUCCUUCUCUUAUUCUUCUCUUCUUCUUUUUCUUCUUCCUUUUCAUUUCUCCUCUUCUUGGAGCUAAAUUAGCUAACUAUGUCUUUUUGGAGCUAAAUCGGCUAAUUAUGUCAUUAUAGAGGAAAACAAGCUAAGUAUAUAAUAUUAAUGAGCUAACCAAGGUUCUUAUGCCAUUUUGAGCUUAUAGUGUGUUUUUGGAUCUAAAUGGGCUAAUUAUGUCAUUGUUGUGGAAAAUAACGUAAGGAGAAUAAGAAAGAGGAGAAGAAAGAGGAGGAUGAGGAGAAGAAGAAUAAAUCAAGAAGAAGGAGAAGAAGAGAAGAAGAAGGAGAAGGAUGAGAAGGAGGAGAAGGUCUUCUCCUCCUUCUCCUCCUUCUCCUUCUUCUCCUCCUUAUUCUCCUACUCCUCCUUCUCCUUCUUCUUCUCUUCUUCUUCUUCUUCUUUCUUCUUUUCAUUUUUCCUAUUUCUUCUCCUCUUCUUGGAGCUAAAUUAUCUAAGUAUAGGUCCUUUCGGAGCUAACUUGGGUAAAAUAGGAGAGAACUUAGCUAAGUAUAGGUCAUUUUUUAUUCAAUAGGCCAUUUUGGAGCUAACUAAGCUAAUUGUGUCAUUUAGGUGCAAGCCUAGCUAACUAUAGGUCCUUUCGGAGCUAACUUGGGUAAAAUAGGUCAUUUCGGAGCAAACUAUGCUUAUUAAGCCAUUUUGGAGCUAGCUAAGCUAAUUAUAGGCUAUUUAAUACCUAAGUUAGGGGGAAUAGGUCAUCUUGGAGCUACAUAAGCCUUAUUAUGUCAUUUAGGAGAGAACUUAGCUAAGUAUAGGUCAUUUUUAUUAAAUAGGCCAUUUUGGAGCUAACUAAGCUAAUUAUGUCAUUUAGGUGGAAGCCUAGUUAACUAUAGGUCCUUUGGGAGCUAACUUGGAUAAAAUAGGUCAUUUCGGAGCAUUGUUGGGGAAAAUAAGUUAAGGAGAAUAAGAAAGAGGAGAAGAAAGAGGAGAAGGAGAAGAAGAAGAAGAAAUCAAGAAGAAGGAGAAGAAGAAGAAGAAGGAGAAGGAGGAGAAGGAGGAGAAGGAUAAGGCUUCUCCUCCUACUCCUCCUUCUCCUUCUCUUCUUCUUCUUCUUCUUCUUCUUCUUCCUUCUUUUCAUUUUUCCUAUUUCUCCUCCUCUUCUCCUCUUGAUGGAGCUAAACUAUGUAAUUAUGUCUUUUUGGAGCUAACUGGGCUAAUUAUGUCAUUUUAGAGGAAAACAAGCUAAGAAUAUAAUAUUCAUGAGCUAACCAAGGUUUUUUCCUAUUUCUUCUCCUCUUCUCCUCUUGUUAAUACUAGUUUAUAAUGACCAUUGAAAUGAAACUCACCGCGCCAAUCGCAGAGAAGACGGGCAUCGGCGGAGGGACAUGACCUGCCAUGAUAAAGAUUAAAAGAAAUUAGUACAACAUAAUCACUAUCAUGAAUAAUAAUAUGUACAUAUAUAAUUUAAGUUGUGAAUCUUACAAACUACUAAUCAUCAUCAAUAAAUGCAUCAUCAUCAUCACUAUCACGCAUUUCUUCAUGAAUGACGUGCUCAUCAGGUUCAACGACAUGAAGUUGUGGAAGGCCUUUCUAUAAUCGAUCAAGAAUUGACACGUCAUCCGCAUCAAUAACCUCUUCUAGUUCCAGCUCUGCUGGUUCUGGCUCAGGGGUGAAGUCGGAUUCAUUGUCGCUGUCUACUUCCAUGUUCUGGGGUGAAGCACGGCGGUUCUUGAAACGUUUCUUGGAAAGACGUGUUUCUGGGAAGAAUUCUCCAUCAUAUGUGUCUGGGUUAAUGUGAGGUUCAUAAUCUUGUUCAUUUGGGGGAGGUGGUCUAACACGUGGCGACACUUCAUAAAAACAUACCAACCUUCCAGAUUCUUAUUAGUUUGGCAUGCCCACGGUAGAUAGAAAAAUUGGGUCGCCUGUUGAGCCGUAAUAUAGACAUCGGGAACAUCUAAAUGGGUGUUUGGAUUGAUUUUGACUAGUCCUAUAUGUUCAUGAGUCCUUCUAGUCUCCUUCGGCUCAACCAAUAACAUUUGAAGACUACGACGUUCGGUGGGUUUUCACCAUAGAAUUGCUUCAACUCUUCCAUAAUACUCGAUAACACCUUUGCCGAUAGCAGAGACACCAGAAUUUGUAGAUUUCCGGUCGGGCAUAGAUAACUCUUUGCCAAAGAUACGAAAGAGAUACCCGUUGAUGUUCUAUUUCUCAAAUGAACGGACCUUAUAGUCAAAACCAUUAGAGGCUUGUCUCAACUCAGCGUCCAUAGACUCUGAAUUAGCCUACAAGUUUAAUACGAAACGAUUGUUGCAUUUGCCGCAAGUUAGACCAAGAAAUGAAAUGGUCCAUUAUUGAUAAUUACCAUUUGUUUGAACCAAGAGAUGGAACCGGGAUAGCCGCCUCCUAUCUUUGCCAGAAGCUCAUACUCUUCGACGGAAUCAUUUUCGAUCACCGCUCCAUCCGAGAAUUUGGCGACGUAUCGGCUGUAUGAUAUAUCCGGGAAUAAGAGAAGUUCAAAGGAAUUAGAAGUUACGGGAAAAUGUGCUGAGAACUUAAUCGAUGUACGUCCGCACUUCUGUUAGGUUGUUGAAGAUAUACAACGAAAUGUUCCGCCAUUCUUCGACAUCCAACGUUAUUGGUUUCGAAGCACCGGCUGGUGCGAGCUUCCCUUUGAAUAGGCUGAGGUUGGACCCACCUUUUUUAGGGUCUGCAUCAUUGUGUCGAGGCUUCGGAUUAUGCAAAUGAUGAUUUUUGGCUUCGUCGUGUGCUGUCACAAAGUUUGUCACCUCCUCACUAAUGAAAGCCUCAACCAUCGAUGCUUCAAUUCUACGCUUAUUUUUUACAUUUAGCUAGAAGCGUCUUCUGCAUCCUCUCAGUUGCAUAGCACCAACGAUUUUGCACGGGCCCACCCAAUCUUGCCUCGGUCGGUGGAAAGAUCUUCUCUAACUUGCACAACAACUCAGGUGCAAACUCCUCCAUGUCAUCUACCACGCCAGGCGACAAUUAUUUCGCACACACGGAAGAAAUAGCUCAGCUCCGCUAGUACUAGCCAAUCAUUCUCAGGAAUAAAGCCACGUAACAUCACCCACAUUACCCUCUCUAGCCAUAUGUGGCAAUCAUGACUCUUGAGACCAAAGAUUUUUAUUUUUUCAAGACUCGCUCCCCUCUUUAGAUUCGCUGCAUACCCAUUGGGGAACAUCAAGUGCAUUUUUACCCACGAGAUAAUUUCCCUCAUAGCUGGCCUUCCAAGAUUGAACCAGGCCUUUGGCUUCGACCACUUCUGCUUUCCUUUGCCUUCUCGCAUGUUUUGUAACGGUCUAUGACAUAGUAUCUCUUGAUCAACUCUAGCCUUAUUAUUCUCCUUUGUAUUCCCAUCUAUGUCGAACAAUGUACCAAAAAUAGCCUGUCCGAUCUCAGUGUGCAUCAUGUCGAUAUUGUGUGGAAGAAGGAUGUCUUUGAAGUAAGGCAGAUCCCAGAAGCAUGGCUUGUGAGUCCAGGCGUGUUUUGAAUUAUACCCCUUGAAAUACCGUGGAUGCUCUGGAUCAGGCUCGAGGGUUUUUAACUGAUCUAGGAUCUGUUGGCCUGUCAACAAAGGUGGUGCCAAGUUUUUGACAUCUUUACCUUUGGUAAAGUUCUUCUUGUCUUUUCUGAACUGAUGGUCAGGAUCCAGGAACUGUUUAUGCAAGUAAAAGCAAGUAUACUUCCGACCCUCCUGCAACCAAUGAAACUGAAGAGAUGCCUUGCAAUGGGGGCACGGGAAACUUCCAUGCACACACCAUCCAGAGAAUAGCGCAUACGCCGACAAGUCAUGCAUAGAGUACAUGUACCACACAUGCAUUUUCAAGUUUUUUUAGCGGCAUCGUAUGUCUUGACCCCAUUAUCCCAAGCUUCUUCCAAUUCAUCCUUAAGCGGCUGCAGGUACACAUUCAUAUUCUUCUCCAGAUAAUUGGGCCCUGGAAUUAUCAACGUCGGAAAUAUGUUCUUUCUUUGCAUAAUCUACCCCGGGGGGNNNNNNNNNNNNNNNNNNNNNNNNNNNNNNNNNNNNNNNNNNNNNNNNNNNNNNNNNNNNNNNNNNNNNNNNNNNNNNNNNNNNNNNNNNNNNNNNNNNNNNNNNNNNNNNNNNNNNNNNNNNNNNNNNNNNNNNNNNNNNNNNNNNNNNNNNNNNNNNNNNNNNNNNNNNNNNNNNNNNNNNNNNNNNNNNNNNNNNNNNNNNNNNNNNNNNNNNNNNNNNNNNNNNNNNNNNNNNNNNNNNNNNNNNNNNNNNNNNNNNNNNNNNNNNNNNNNNNNNNNNNNNNNNNNNNNNNNNNNNCCCGGGGGGGGGGGGGGAGAUUGAGUGGAAUGACAAAUACAGGCCAACAACUGUAUUGGGUUGUUGUCAUGCUGAAUGGAUUAAAACCAUCCGCGGCGACGUAGACUCGAGGAUUCCUUGGAUCUUCCACUUUAUCCUGAUGCAAUCCAUUGAAAUGUUUCCACGUUUCCACAUCUGAUGUGUGUACCUCCAUCUCAUUCCCAUCCGCAUCUAGUUCGGUUCUUUUGCCCAGUUUGUGCCAUGUCAUCUGUCUGGCUGUCUCUUCGACCUUGAAAAGACGUUGAAACCUUGGUAUGAUUGGCAUAUACUGAAGAACAUUAACUGUGAUUUUGGUCUGCCUCUUCUCACCCAUACCGUUGUCUACCACAAGAUACCUGCAAGACUCGCAAUUGGGACAAUAGUCCAAGUGUGCAUACUCCUUCCUAAAUAAGACACAUCCUUUCUCACAUGCAUCUAUCUUCUCAUAGGGCAUCUUAAGUACACGAAGUAUUUUGUCCGAAUGGUACAGGUUUGCAGGCAUGACAUGGCCUUUGGGUAGGAAGCAUCCAAAUAGUGUCAUCAUUGCGUCGUAGCAUUCUCUUCCCAAGUUGAACUGAGCCUUCGGAGCCAUUACUUGUGCAAUUGCAUCCAGCUGACAAAGCUCAGUGUGCUCAUGGAGAGGACGUUUUGAAGACUCCAACAUUUCAUAGAAGGCCUUUGCAGAUUCCUCCAUCUCAUCUUCUGAAUCCCGAGCAUCAUCAAAGUCUUGCACCAUGUCUUCAAUCCCGGUACCAUGCUCGUCGGUGCGACGACGGACCACCUCAGCUCUCGUGCGUUGUAUAGACUCACCAUGAAAUGUCCACACAGUAUAAUUAGGCUUAAAACCCCUCCUCUACACGUGUUUAAUCAUUACAGUCUCUGUCGUCUUAUUAUAGUUGUCGCAUCCAGGACAGGGGCAAUAGUUUCUUUCCUGGGCAUUUGCAAAUGCAGCUUUCACAAAUUCCUUGGUUUUUAGAAACCAUUCUUUCGUCAUCUCUUUCUGAUUAGGGAGACCGAUAUACAUCCAUGCAUGAUCACUCAUCUUGCCUAGCUACAAAAGACACAAGAAAUAUAUUUAUAUAUAAUUUAGCAUAUAUAUAUAUUCAUCAGUUAAUCAAGUUCGCCAUUUUUAUUACGUCCAUGCAACCUACACGCUAAUAGCUAAAGCUAGGUCCUAAUCCCACCCGAGUAUGUGUAGAUUGGGUUUUUUUCCCAUGCUCUGCUCCGGAUCCAACCUAAAAUUUCGGUAGCACCUCCCCGCUGUUCUCGUGAUACACGUCUCCGUAAUAAACAGAGAGGAUGUGUAUCCAGAGAAAAAUAGGGAAGCACUGACGAAAUUAUGCAUCAGAUCCGGAACAAAGCAUAUGGGAAAACGAACCCAAUCUACACAUACUCGGGCUGUCCAUGGUUAACGUUGGACAAUUCAAAAGAAUCACAGUUAUAAAUAUAAGCAAAUGCAUGCAUAUUUAUAACUGUAACCCUUUCGAACGGGAGACGCAUACUGGUCACGCAUACUGAUAAAUUAAUUUAAUUACCUAAAUCAAGCAAGUUUCAUCCGAAACCGACCCACAACAAAUGAAGGGGCGAGGAGGAGAUGACAUUUGUACUGACCCACGAAUGCAGGGGCGGAGCUCGUUCAACGCACGGGGAGGUCUUCACACAGCAGACCUCAUAGCGACGAGAUAACUGUCACAUGUAAAUCCACCCGAUCAACACAAAUAUGCUAAUUAUGUCUAAUUAUUUCAUUUUGGAGGAAAACAAGCUAAGAAUAUAAUAUUCAUGAGCUCACCAAGGUUUCUAUGCCAUUUUGAGAUUAUUAUGUCAUUUUGGAGGAUAAUUAGCUAAACAAGGUAAAAAAUAAGAAGGAGGAGAGAAGAAGGAGAAGAAGGAGGGCUCCUUCUCCUCCUCCUCCUUGUCCUUGUUCUUCUCUUCUUCUUCUUUUCAUUUUUCCUCUUUCUUCUCCUCUUCUCCUCCUCUUCUUCUUCUUCUUCUUCACCUCCUCCUCCUCCUCCUCCUCUUCUCCGCUUCUUCCUCCUCUUCUUCUUCUUCUUCUUCUUCCUCUUAUUUCUAUUUCUAUUUUCUUUAUCAUCUUCUUCUACUUAUUCUUCUUUUUUCUCUUCUUCUCCUUCUUACUUUUUUCUUCUUCUCUUGUUAUCAUCUUCUCUUCUUCUUUUCUUCUUCUCCGUCUUAUUUUUUUCUUCUCCUCCUCCUCUUCUUCUUCUCCUUCUUUUUUUCUUCUCCACUUCUUCUUCUUCUUCUCCUCCUCCUCCUCUUCCUCCUCAUCCUCCUCUUCUUCCCCUCUUCUCUUCCUCCUCCUCCUCUUCUUCUUCNNNNNNNNNNNNNNNNNNNNNNNNNNNNNNNNNNNNNNNNNNNNNNNNNNNNNNNNNNNNNNNNNNNNNNNNNNNNNNNNNNNNNNNNNNNNNNNNNNNNNNNNNNNNNNNNNNNNNNNNNNNNNNNNNNNNNNNNNNNNNNNNNNNNNNNNNNNNNNNNNNNNNNNNNNNNNNNNNNNNNNNNNNNNNNNNNNNNNNNNNNNNNNNNNNNNNNNNNNNNNNNNNNNNNNNNNNNNNNNNNNNNNNNNNNNNNNNNNNNNNNNNNNNNNNNNNNNNNNNNNNNNNNNNNNNNNNNNNNNNNNNNNNNNNNNNNNNNNNNNNNNNNNNNNNNNNNNNNNNNNNNNNNNNNNNNNNNNNNNNNNNNNNNNNNNNNNNNNNNNCUCCUCCUCUUCUUCUUCCUCCAAAAAACUAAAUAACAACAAGUUAAUGUCCCAUGGGGGGGUGGGGGUGUGGUGGCUCACCGGCAGGGGCGGCUGUGGCGUCAUGGGCAACGGGGCCGGGGGUGUUNGCUGUGGGGCAGCGGCGGCGGGGCUGUGGGGAACCAGGGUGGCGCCGGGGGCGACGACGCGACGAUGGUGGCGGCGGUGGGGGUCACGGGAGAGGAGGGGUAGAGAGUGCCAUUUGAGAGAGAGAGAGAGAGAGGGCCGGGGUGGAUCGGGACGGAUGUUAGUAAAUUCGGAAGCUUUGCCGUGUGCUGGUGGACGACAAAGGGUCUAGACUCUUUGUCGUCCGCUAGUAGACGACAAUGAAACGACUGUAGUUUGACCUAAUAUUACCUCGGCCAGGAGGGCCCAAUCCAAAGCUUUGCCGUCUGCUGUCCUCAUCUUUGCCGUCUACAGCAGACGACAAAGAAUUGACUGAUGGCAAAGACAUUCUUUGCCAUCAGCGAGUUAUUUGCCAUCUGCUUUGUGGGAGCUGACGGCAAAGACACUCUUUGCCAUCAGCCAGCAGACGACAAAGAUUCGGCACACGACAAAAAACUGAAUUCCAGUAGUGGAUGUCUAUGAUGGGAGAGUUGAAGUUUUUCCAUGGAUUCAAAGUCAAACAACGGAGUAAAGGAACCUUCAUCAAUCAAGCAAAAUACACUCAAGACAUGCUCAAAAGGUUCAAGAUGGAUGAUCUCAAACCUGCCAAGGCCAAAACUCCCAUGCCUCUCAACUGCCAUCUUGAUCUUGAUCCCAAUGGUAAAGCUGUGGAUCAAAAGGUAUAUCGCUCUAUGAUCGGAUCUCUGCUUUACCUUUGUGCAUCUAGACCAGAUAUUAUGUUGAGUGUGGGAAUAUGUGCACGAUUUCAAUUCAUGCCUAAGGAAAGUGUCUAUGUGGCGGUCAAGCGAAUAUUUUGAUAUUUUGCUCAUACCCCAAACUUUGGCUUAUGGUAUCCCAAAGGGCUUCAUUUUAUCUGACAGGAUAUUCGGAUUCGGAUUGGGCGGGAGAUCAUGUGGAUAGGUAGUCAACUUUUGGAGGUUGCCAAUUCCUUGGCCGCUCUAUGGUAAGUUGGUCUUCCAAGAAACAAAACUGUGUUUCUCUCUCGUGCAUCGAGGAUGAAUAUGUAGUUGUCGCAAGUUGCUGUGCUCAGCUGCUAUGGAUGAGGAAAACUUUAAAGUAUUAUGGUGUCACUUGUGACAAAGUGCCUCUUUACUAUGAUAACAUUAGCGCGAUCUCUAUAUCCAACAACCCGGUUCAACAUUGCAAGACGAAGCACAUCAAUAUUUGUCAUCACUUCAUCUGGGACCAUAUCAAGUGUAAGGAGAUUGAUCUAAUUUACCUCAACACUAACGAACAACUUGCAGAUAUCUUUACCAAGCCAUCGAAUGAAGCAAGAUUUCGGGAGUUAACGCAUGAGCUAAAUAUCAUUGAUUUAAGCAAUGUGGAUUGAAACUAGGCACACCGUGGCACUCUCAUCAUUUUAUCUUGUUAGGUGCAGGCAUGGAUUUAGGGGGAGUGUUGUUCUCUCAAUGAACUCUUCCUCCCCCUAUUAUGCAUAAAAUUAUUCGGUCGUUCACUUUAGUCAUCUUCGAUGACACUUGUGCUUCAAUGACGAGUUAUGGUCUUGGGCCCAAGGUUGAAAUCUUCGCUGGGCCAUACCUACAAACUCAAACAUAGGUGGCUUCGGCCACCGCCCCCCCCCCCACACUUUCCUUAUGGCAUUUGUCUCAUGGGAACCUCUCUCUAUCACUCCAAGUUAUGCUCUCUCUUUGUUUCCUUUCAUUUUGGAGUGAACUCCCAAAGUUGGCAUGGCCAUCUCGCUUAUUUUUCCUCAAAAAUUUUAUUUUCCUUGUUUUUCGACGUUUUUGGUCCUCCUGGAGUGGUACUACAACUGCCCCAGCGGUACUACCAAUGAUAAGAGGUAGUACCGCCCGACGCAGCAGUACUACCGCUCGGCCAGCGGUUCUACCGCUUCGAGUCUCCCACAAGGGGUUAUGGGGCCGGGCACAUGCAGUUUCUAACCCCUUCCCAUUCUUCCCCACUCCUCCUCGUGGGUGUCUCUCUCCAUGCGACUCCAAGGCUCCGGUGGUCAUCCCGGAUCUCUCUUUUUCGGCCACCCAUUCACGAUUUCAACCGGAGGGAUUGUCCUCCACCCUCUCCUCUUGCCAUGGAUACCGGUAUUGUCCCCGUUCUCCUCCUCUUUAUUUCUCUUUUUCAGAUCUAGGUCUUGGACAAUAUGUGAUGUAUCUAGGUCUUUUUCGUUCCAAUUUGCGGCAUCUGAGGGCAGUAGUUGAUAGCUUGAGUUUAGAUAUGUUGAUCUUGUUAAAAUUUUGUGGUAAAGGCACCCUCGAUAGUACCGGAUUUGACAUAUGGUGGUUUUUAUCCCACGAUUUUUGUCCUAAGAGGUACUACCGCUCAUCCGAGAGGUACUACCAUUCAUAAGUGGUAGUACCGCACCUGUCAGCGGUACUACCGCCCUCGGCUCACCUUUUCCCUCUUUUUCUUCUUGUUCAUCGUUUGUUUCUCGACUAUCAUUGUGUCUUGCUGUUGUGUUCUCAUCGUGUUCUCCCGUGCUUUUGUCUGGUUGUGUUUUUGAUAUCACGAGGUGGCAUCUCGGCUGCUCCGGAGCGUAGGACGAAUCCCAAACGUGUCAGCAUGAAGAGGUUCCAUUCUUCUAAGGAUGACGGCUCCAACCAACCACCGGUGGUUGUUCAUGUCGUGCAAGCUAGUCAGUCUGCUUCCAUACUCAAGGGGAAGCGCCCUGCUAUCAAGCCCUUGAAGUUCCAAUCCAUGGCUUGUUUGACCGUUAAGGAAUUCUGGAUGUCCCCCAAGCUUAAUCCCUAUGUGGAUCCUGAGGAGCCUUCAAUGCUCAACCGUCCCUUCUGAACCCGGAAGCAAUUGUCCAUCUACAAUGACAUUCUGAAGCCCAGGGAGAAAUUGUAUGUUCCUCAUGUCAAGUCUAUUGAUGUUAACCAUAUGCAGUGUAAUGAAAGGUAUUUCAAGACUGCUCUCUCCCUCUGUGAGAAGAUGGGCAUCCUUGGUAUUAUGUAGUUUAACAAAGGCUCUGAUGUUCAGCAUAUUGCAGUGUUCUAAGUUCACCUAGGUACUGACGAGGAUCAGACUCUUCAACGUAUGACCAAUUGUAGGCUGCUUUCUGCUCCCUAGAAAGUCUUCAUGGAUCUUCUCCACAUUGUGUACCAUGGUCUUGAGACCCCUCUUGGAUUCCGUCCUCAUCAUGAGUAUGUUGCUACCCACAAGCAAGCCCUGUACAAUUCAACACUGAGAAGAUCUCCUCAACUAUACGCAAGUCCUCUUGGGUGCUGGAACCCUUCUUAGAUAUCAUGCACCGCAUCUUUUGCGCCACUUUUUUCCCCGUGUGGGCAAUCUGGAUAUGGUCCACUCCUAUCUGGUCGACAUUAUUCUGAGGAGUCUGCUCAGAAUGUACAUUUUCCUCAGCAUGUUUUUCUUCUUCUGGCUUUGUGGCAGAAGCAGUUUCAUCAGCUGGUGCAGCUGAUGCUUGAGCAGUAUCUGUCUGAGGAAUAAGAGGGUGAUGACUGUCAUCAAUCUAGAUUUCCUCAUCAGUGUGUUCCUCAAAGGCGACAUCCUUCAUUUCCUCAUUUGCCCUUGUAGCUGGGUCAUCAAUGACGACCAUUUCAUAUGAAGGUGCGACAUUUAGAGGCACGGGGUCCAGAGGGGCAGAUUCUUCAGUUUCUUUGUGGCGCUUUGCCUCUGUCUCUUCCACUUCUGAGGAGGCUUUUCUCUUCUUUGCUUCCUUUUCAGCAGCCCUUGUUUUCUGCACGUCUGAUGCAGAAGGAGUUAUCUUCUUCACCUUUGAAGCUUUUGGUGAAGGUGUUCUUUCUGCAGAUUCUUCAGCUGGUAGUGAGGAACCGGCUGGAACAGAGUCAUCAGCCUGCUUUGAUGAAGCAGCUGGAUUAGGAGCAGUCUCAUCAGUGGUUGCAAUUCCAUCAGUUGCAGUUUCCGUGAUGAUUUCUUCAAUGGCCGGUUCAUCAACACGACGCUCUUGGUGUUCUUCCUCAGCUUGAUUAGUUUCCUCCUCAUCAGGAGAUGCAUCUGCUGGCUGCUCAACGAGGGGCUGAGGAGUUGGUGCUGGUGGUGCUUUUCUCUUGUUGUAGUCAUCAACAGCACUAGUGGCUAGCUUGAUGAAAUUGCGCAUGAUGCUUUUGCGAUCUGACAGCUUGUCAUACUUGUCAGUUAAUAAUUGCAGCUGUGCCUGGGUUGACACCAGUGCAUCAGGAGUCAGCUUGAGGAUAUUCUGCCUGAGGAAUUUCUCCUUUUUGGCCUUUGCAACCUUUGCCUGCCGGGCCUGCCGUUCUUUCCACUUGGCUUCAUUUAUGAAGGUGGCCACAAUGUGGCUGAUGCCAGGAGGAAGUUUCAAAUCAUCAAUGGGAGUGUUUGGAUCCUCAUACCAGAUAUUGAUGUAGUCAAGGAGGACCUUGGGGUCCAUGGCCAGAGGAAUAGCACUACCUGAUGCUUGAGCAACCCUUUCUUGCUUGUUUCUAAUGAUGGCUUGCAGGGUUUCAUCAUCAUAUUCAUCACUCCCCUCUGAUGCAGACGGGACUGCGAUGGUUUUGCUGGGGCUGGGCAGAGGUGCACGUUCAGUAGCUGCCAAAGUCUUCAUAGGUGGUGUUGAAGACUUUGUCUCCGAGCUAGUUGCAGCUGGGAGUGAGGAGCUGGAGUUGGCGGUCGUAGGUUUCACGACAUGCUUCUGUACUGGUUUUUCUUGAUUCUUUGGAGGUGGAGCUGAGGAUUUUGGUGCUGAGGAGAUUGGUGCAGAGGGUUUUGGCACUGAUGGUUUUGGUGUUGAAGGUUUUGCUAAUGAGGGUUUUAGAACUGAGGGUUUUGGAGCUGAGGGUUUUGUGACAGAAGCCUGAACAGACUUCUCUUGAGACUUUGGAGCCCUUUGCUUUGAUGGCACAGACUGCGUGUUAGGAAUUUCUGAGCCUGAGGUUUCUGCCGCUGAGGAAUUAGCAGCACCGGAGCCAGCAGCUGAGGAUUCAUUAAAUUUUCUCACUGCAGGUUCUGCUUGCUUCUUGAGCUUGGCCAGAUGCUUUUCCUUUUCAUCUGGAUAGUCAUCAAUGGUCUUGAGGCUUGAUGGAUGAGCUACUUGAUGAUCCUCAAGUGGGGCCCUUCUGCCAGGAGGCUUCGAAGCAAAUUUCUUUGCAUAUUUGGGAGUCACAAACCUGUACUCCUUCCAUUCCUUCGCCCAUCGGCGUUCAAUCUUCUGCAGCCUUAUCUUUCUCUUGGCCAUUGUCUCAUGUUCAUCAGGCGUACAAUAGUCCAAGUAUAUGACCUCAGCGAUAUCAGCAGCUGUGUUCUGCUCCAGUUUCUUUCCUCCCUUCUGUUUUCUCUCUUCCUCCAUUUUCUUCAGUUGAGGACUUUGCUGAUGAUUUUGAACUCUUGAGGAUUCUGAAGAGCCUUGAAGAGUUUCUUCCAGAAACGCUGCAAAUGAGUUAAUGUGAUGAGAACCGAGAGAUUCAUCAGCUGACAUGUGUGUACCUGUGAACAGAGUAUGGUUGCGAGGAAUUUGGAGAGGUCAUAUGCGUUCUCAGAUUUGAAGAAAAUGAAAAAGUUUGAUAGUUUGAGGAAUAUAACCAGUGGUUGAGGAAUUUGCCUAAGCAUACUGUUCUUGGGUUCCAGAGUUGUACAGAUCCGAAAAUUCACACAAUUGAGGAAUCUCGUGAAAAUCUUAGAUGCUUAGCUAGUUCAUCAAUGAUUGUGGUGAUAGGUAGUGUUUGAGGAAUCAUGUGCGCAUCGUAUCUUGAGGAAAAACAGAUUUCACAUAGAAGAUGUAAAAUUUCAGAUCUAAUCUGCUGUAAAAAUGGGAUAUAUUUAACCUGGAAGGUGCGUACGAAGAACACAUAAAUUAGUGUUGGAGAGGUUCUUCGUUCAAGUGUCCAAUGCACCCUAACUUGGCGGAAGAGGACGUCUACGGCGGCGGCGGACGAAGAUGGUCCGAGUCCGGCGUGAUUCUGGCGACGAAAAGGUCGAGGCAGUGAAGCUCUUCCUCACCGGCGACAAGACUACUAGCGGUGGAGCUAGGGUUCGAUGGAGUGUGCUGUGGCAGGAGAGCGAUGAGGCGAAGAAGAGGAUACCGAGGGGGAUAAGUACAUAUUUAUAGCCCAAAAGUUAUUGUUUGGCGUGAAAGUUUCGAACCUAAUAGCCCCUGCCUCUACGUCUCCACAGGACACGUGUAGCUCCCGUACGAUGCGGUGGAGAUAGUGGAGAUCGUGGUUAUCCAAUCAUGGGAAGUGGGGGUUCAGUUACUGUGCCUUUAAAGAAAACAAUUUUUGAAGAUUUGAGGAUUUUCGUUACAAAAUCAUCAGCUGACAAGGAUGCAGUGAGGAUUUUGAACAAAGUUUCAAAUAGAACGCAUAUGAAGAAUUGAAUAGAUUGGAUAAGUAUAGCAUAGAGGGAAAGUAGGGUCGGAUCACAUUCACUUAGCAGAAACAUCAACUUGAAGAAAUAGCAAUAAGUGAAUGCUAUUGAGGACUAGAAAUCUUAGUCUACCUAGUCAAAUGAAAGUCAUCAAGUGUUUUUGAAGGUUUUGUAAUAGAUCAUCACAAUGAAGAACAACCGUUUUGAAGAAGAAUGCAUUGUGAGGAAAUUGAUCAUUUGAAGAAAAUCAACUUGAGGAAUUUCACAUUGGGCGGUGGCGUUACCCACCAUAUAAGAAUGUUGAUUACACACGCUGCGUUCAAUUGUCGUAGGGCCCUGAGAAUCAAUUUCUUCGUUAAUUUCUUCACAUUCAGAGUGACAUUCUUCAUCAGUUGAAGAAAAUCGUUUCAUCAUGUGUUGCACAUCUAAGUCAUCAACUUUGCAUAAGUGUUAGGAUGUGUGCAUGUUUUUACAAAACAUUUGAAGACUCUAAGAUAUUUAGCUCACACCGCAACUUGCAAAACCUUUUCUCAUCCAAGGGCUUAGUGAAGAUAUCUGCCAAUUGAUCAUCAGUCUUCACAUGGUCGAUGAGGAUAUUGCCCUUAAGGACAUGGUCCCGAAGAAAAUGAUGACGAAUCUGGAUGUGCUUGGUCUUCGAGUCUUGUACUGGGUUGUAUGCAAUCUUGAUAGCACUCUCAUUGCCACAGUAGAGAUGUACAUUCUUCAUGUUGAUGUCGUAGUCCUUGAGGGUUUGCUUCAUCCAUAGCAAUUGAGCACGGCAAGAACCAGUAGCAAUGUACUCAGCUUCGGCAGUGGAGAGUGAUACACAGUUCUGCUUCUUUGAGGACCAGCAAACUAGUGAUCUUCCGAGGAAAUGGCAUGUGCCAGAUGUUGACUUGCGAUCCACACGGUCACCAGCAUAGUCAGAAUCAGAAUACCCUACCAGAUGAAGAUUGGAGCCCUUGGGAUACCAUAAUCCUAGUGUUGGUGUGUGAGCUAAGUAUCAAAGAAUAUGUUUCACAACCUUAUGGUGUGAUUCCUUCGGUUUUGCUUGAAAUCGUGCACACAUGCAACCACUAAGCAUUAUAUCUGGCCUAGAUGCACAUAGAUAGAAUAAGGAGCCAAUCAUAGAACGGUAUACCUGCUGAUCGAAAUCUUUACCAUUUUCAUCAGUGCCGAGGUGGCCGUUGGUAGGCAUCGGAGUCUUGGCACCUUUGCAUUCGUGCAUGUCGAAUUUCCUCAGAACAUCCUUGAGGUAUUUCUCCUGUGAUAUGAAGAUUCCAUUGCUUUGUUGACGAAUUUGAAGGCCUAAGAAGAAUUUCAGCUCCCCCAUCAUGGACAUCUGAUAUUCUUCACUCAUCAUGUAGGCAAAUUCAUCACUGUAUCUUUUGUCAGUACAGCCAAAUAUAAUAUCAUCGACAUAUAUUUGACACACAAAUAGCUCAUUAUCGUAGGAUUUAGUGAAAAGAGUUGGAACGAGUGAACCAGGUUUGAAGCCUUUCUUCAUGAGGAAUUCCUUCAAUGUAUCAUACCAUGCCCGAGGGGCUUGCUUGAGACCAUACAGAGCCUUUUUGAGUCUGAAGACUUUGUCUGGAUUCUUUGGAUCCUCAAAUCCUAGGGGUUGAGCAACAUAUACUUCUUCCUCAAGCUUACCAUUGAGGAAUGCACUUUUCACAUCCAUUUGAUAUAAGGUGAUGUUAUGAUGAUUAGCAUAAGCAAGUAGUAUUCGAAUAGCUUCAAGUCUAGCCACAGGUGCAAAAGUUUCAUCGAAAUCUAUUCCUUCAACCUGGGUGUAGCCUUGGGCUACAAGUCGUGCCUUGUUCCUCACCACUUGACCGUCCUCAUCUUGCUUGUUUCGGAAAAUCCACUUGGUGCCGAUGAUGUUGUGCUUGCGAGGAUCUGGUCGUUUGAUGAGCUCCCAUACAUCAUUCAGCUUGAAUUGAAGAAGUUCGUCUUGCAUAGCUUGGAUCCACUCCGGUUCCAGAAAAGCCUCAGCAACUUUUGAUGGUUCUGUGAUGGAUACAAAGGAAAAAAUGCCCACAAAAGUUAAGCAACUGUGAAGCUUUUGAGCGAGUGAGAGGACCUCGCACGUUGAUGUCGUUGAGGAUUUUGUCAAGUUCUACUUCGUUUGCAAUCCUCGGAUGAGCUUGUUGAGGAUUUUGUCUGGGCUGAGGAAGUGGUGCUGUUGCAAUUUCCUCAAGAGCAUCUUCUUGGUUUUUAUCAGCGAGGGGGAGCGUUUCUUCACCAAUUUCCUCAGUUGGGACAAUGUCUUCAGUAGGCUUAUGUGUAAGUGCAUCUAGUGCCCCUUAGUGAUUUUGGUGGUUUGAAGACUUAUAGGUUAGGUAUCUAAUGUGUUUACAAGUGUACACAGGAUCUAUAAGUCAUUGAGGAGUUUGAGAUAUUUGAUGAAUAUCGACCCCUAAAAAUAUAUGUCUUCAGUUGAAGAAAUUGGUCUGAAGCUGAAGAAAUGAAUCGCGAAGAAUUUGCGAUGAAAUUGAUAUUCCUCAUGAAGAUAUUGAUAUUGAGAAGAUCGGUGGUUCCUGAAGAAAAUCGUUCUGAAGAAAUUGAAGCAUGAAGAUUUACGUUUUCUGUUUUACUUUCUUCGCAUUUGAUGAAUAGGAACACCGUACUGUUAAAGGGGGUCAAGGUAACGCUAUGGAAUGAAUUUCCUCAUGAUGCUCAACCCAAGCCAAAUCCUACCAAAAGCCUCAACUGAGGAAUAUGAGUGACAUGAGGACUCUCACAGUUGAGAGUCCCGACCGUUUCGAUAAGCCACGCCAAGUCACUGAUCUUAUCCACUCCAACGGUCAUAUUAUUUAAGGGCAUUAAUGUCAAAUCAUGUCGGGAUGCUCCCAGGCUAUAAAUAGCCGACCCCACAACCACUAGCUGGUUGGCUGCUCCAUUAGAAACUGACACUUGUCAUAAGAGCAACCCAAAUUCCUCAGAGCUUCCGAGAGUAAAUCAUCAGUGAGGAAAUACACCACCCACCGAAACCACAAACCAAAACUAGUGAUUGAGCAUCACUGAAGAAGUUGUUCCUGUGUGGGACUGAAGCCUUUUACCUUUGAGGACUGUGCAUCCUCCAGACAGUUAGGCGUCAUGGUCUAGAGCAAUCCAGCAGUCAAUUGUGGAUCGCCGGGUGACCGAGUUUGUGAGGGUUUGGAAGUCUGCCCUGAAGACUUACCACGAGUGUUGGGCGAGGACUGUGUGUCCUUAGCUCAAGGAGAAUACGGUAGGGACUGUGUGUCCCGGGACUGGGUGUCCUUUGGUUUCGAUACCAAGCCGCUCCAAACCAGAUGUACAACUGUCACAGCAGUUGGAACUGGGUCAUCAACAACAGUCUUCACCAAGAAUCGGGUUCUAAUUCCUCGACUCUUUACUUUCUCUGUAUUAAGUGUUGAUGACUUUCACUGUGUCUGUUUGAAGAAUUUGCUGAAGACUUUCUCUGAAUUUCCUCAACCCCAAAUUCUUCACUUGAGUUAAUCAUCAUCUGUAUUCUGCGUGCCUGCUUACUGUGUAAUCUGUUUUCACAUUCUUCACUCUGUAAUACUGCUAUUGUGAAAGUUUGCACGUCUGAUCCAUAACCGUUUCCGCUGUAAGUUAGUCAUCAGUGAGGAAUUUCCUCAAAAGGAAUUUCCUCAGUGAUGAAAUUGUAAAAAUCUCCUAUUCACCCCCCCUCUAGUCGAUAUAACGCACUUUCAAUAAACCACAUUAAGUAAGUCUAAAUGGGAAACAUGAGCUAGAUAGGCAAUGCAAGUCAGAUUCCGGUGACUUAUAGGUUUGUCGAUUUUCCCAUUAUGUUGAGAUUCGUUGCCUACCAAAGAAAGUUGCAAAAGUAUAGAAGUUUCCAAUGAUGUGAUGCUUUGCUAUUCAGGGGAAUUCCUCCUAGCGUCGGAAGCUCAAUUUAUUUAGGAUCGGUCUUCCUUGUUCGUUCCCUCAAGUCUUCGGUCACUCCUCGGCGACCUUGUUUUGUUAACAAAAGUAUUGCACUGCUAGAUUAUUCCAAUCAAACUAUAUCGACAAACCUAUAUGAACUCACUCACUAAUGAGUGAGAAAAGGAAAGAAAAGAAAAGGCUAUUUCACUUAAAAAAGGAAGCCUAUUUGCCCGAUUUACGAGACCAGACGUAUGAUCCUGUACGUGCCUACCCAAAGUCCCUGUUUUUAACGCAUUUGACUAUGAAAUCAGGCCUCCCCGGCUGUGUCAUGUGACCCCAAACAUGCAUACCAUGAAAAUACAAUCUUGGUAUUCAGGGGAAUUCCUCCUACCGUCAGAAACUUUAUGUUUCCCCUAGCUUUGCACCAAGCAACUUUCCCGAAUAAAACCAAUAUUUCCUUGCUCAAAAAAGCACUGGAAACGGUGGCUUUUACCGAGUUACCGAUCCUAUCUGUGGUCGAACAGCUUGAUUUCCUAAAAUUUAGGAAGCCCAAAAAAAGCAAAACGAAAGGAGAGACUUAUUUUACGAGCCAGAACGAGGGGGGCCUCUUCAAGACCCUACCUAUCGAGGACUUGUUUUUACCCCUGAAAUAUUUGGUACCACAAGGCCUGUUUUCUUAAAGGAAUCUUCCUUCAAACGCGUUCCACAAAAAAACAAGUAGGACCCUAUUGCAAGUGCCUUGCACUUUAACCGAAAAAAAGGAAAGGCACUUUUCCUAUCUUUUUCCCUUAACGCGGAGCAUUCAGGUAAAGAACUGGAAACCAUACUUUUUUAAAAACUAGGAAAAGGCAUAUUAUGACCGUUGAACCAUUUGAUAGCGAAGAGUUGUUACAGAAGUCUCUCGGUUUUCUUGAAACUGGGUUACCAUGAUUUGGUUCUGCGGAACCAAAAAACAGGGACCCAGGAUAAGAGAAAUACCAAUUUUUUCAUGAUCAGGGCGCCGUGGAACUGAGCAGCCUAUAGUCGAAAGGCCAGAAAAUUCUAUUCCGACUAAGUGCGUCACAGGAAUGGCCUAUUCCUUUAUUCAUGAGCCAGAUGAUGGACAUGAAGGGGAACAUGGGCUUGUGGCCCGGACUCUAGGUAUCUGAGCCUUUUCUGAUGAACGGUGCACCAUGUGAAUUGAUUUAUGAGGAAGUUGGAGUCAGCUUGAGCGAGAAACUGCUCCAAAACCAUCCCCUCGGGCAAAUGGCAACCCUACAGUUCCAGUUUUACUGAAUUGGAGGGACAGUCCCGGGGAGGCACACUGGAGUUGUAACAAUAUGAGUGCAAAUGGGCUUGGUAUUCCCUUGAAGUUGAACAUGCGGGGAUAUCUAAAUAUUGAACCAGUGAUUCAAAAGAAUGGCAAGUCAGCGGUUAUGUGUUGACUUCAGAAACAGGAAUCUUGCCACUCCAAAGGACGAGUAUCCAAUGCCGAUAGCUGACCUACUGGUAGAUUCGGCAGCUUGUAUUGAUCCUCUUGGAUACCCACUCAGGAUAUAACCAGGUGCCAAUCACCGAAGAAGAUAUUAACAAGAAUUUAGAUGCCCUGGUCCAGUUGGUGCCUAUGAUUUGUCGAUCAAUUCCUCGGGUCAAGGGGCGCACCUAUGAUGUAUAAUCUUCACUACUAGUCAAUCCAGGGAAAUAUUCCUUCUGGCCUUUUAUAGAUGGAUACCUUUUUCUUAGAAAAAAUCCCCUUUCAGGUUUAAUGAUCAAGCAGCGGGAUACCGAUUAUCCUCUUUUUGCCGGAGGAAGCGAGGAAACAGAGCUAACGGAAUUUCAUUAUAAAGAAAAUGACUCAUAAGGAGGUCAGUCAUAAAAUCCUUAAACACU